UUAAUGCCAAUUUUAAAAUGACGUAUUGCACUGUUGCCAUCGUCACCGGCACUCCAUUGUAGGACGACUGAAUCAGGGCGUAUGUCGGACACUUUCGGAGCAGUUGUUGCAAAAGGAGGAGCUGAAAGGAAAAACUCGCGUGAUAUGGAAGCACAAAACGUCACCACUUAAUUACUCAUUUGUCUAGGCAUUGAGAAAAUGGGCACUUAUCUAAAGAUGGAUCAUAAGAUUUUCCACUGAAGUUCGAUAGUGGUCGAGUAAUCGCCGACAGACGAUGAUGAAUCGCAACGAUAGACACCAUUAUCCCUUUGGAACACACCACGUAUAGUGAGCCGACCUUCGCUAUCAAUGCUGCGUCUUGAGUCAUCUCUAAGUAUCUGUUGACCUCUAAAAUACCAAUGAUACGUGACGUUGACUUUCUUAUCAUAACGAACACCACAGUAGAGAUAUGGAUGGUUGCCUAAGGACGCAAACACCGUGACGGACUUAUUUACGACAACGGUCGGAGCUGGAGAGAGAAAGAAAUGUGGUCACAUAUCUGUUUCCUUUUUCAUGAGAUGCAUGUGUGCGUGCAUGUGAUAUCUUACCCUACGUUUCCUGUAGGUUUGCAAACGGCGCAAAAUGUAAUGGAACUGGAUUGCGUUUAUACUGCACCGGAGAGGAAUUGUUUGAAAACUUCACUUUUUAUGGAGCGAUACGACCACACUUUCUAAACGUGGUCGAACAAAAACGGAGCGCUACGCAGUGUUGUGUAAACAACCAGCAGUUAAUAUUUUGCUGUUUUUUAGAUACCAGUUCUCUUCAAUUCGUCACGCGUUGUGGUGCAUAAUUGAAAAUGGUGAACAUUGUAUGUUUUGGAAAGCUUUCAAUGACAAAUUCCGUUGUAAUUUUACAAAUCAACGUCUUUUAUGACUUAUGACUACAGUUAUAAAAAUCUAGCAAUGUGAAGACGAAAAAUGACGUCAUUUUAUCACAAAAAACUAACGAAUUUUGACACUUGAUGGCAAGAGACAUUAUGUGAAAACAUGGCAAAACUGUAGAGGAAUUCAACGGGUAAACGCAUGCAGUCAAAUUUUACGGUCACUUCUUCGCUUCGAAGUAGGGUAAACGUAGUCGUAGCUCAUGUGCUGGCGUGAAUACAUUUGAACCAGAACACACACAACUUUUUCCUUGGAUAGUUUAAAAAAUCUUUAAAGUGACACAGGUUUCACAUGCUUCUUAAUGCUUGUAAUCUUCCUAAAGUUUCGUAAUCUUGACUAUUCUUAUGAAUUAGUUCUGGUUGUUUUCAUCUGCAAGAUAUUAAACUGAAAAAUUCUUGUUUUUCCUAA